rnacentral:rRNA from 1 species
AGUGAACGCUGGCGGUAGGCCUAACACAUGCAAGUCGAACGGCAGCACAGUAAGAGCUUGCUCUUACGGGUGGCGAGUGGCGGACGGGUGAGGAAUACAUCGGAAUCUACUUUUUCGUGGGGGAUAACGUAGGGAAACUUACGCUAAUACCGCAUACGACCUACGGGUGAAAGCAGGGGAUCUUCGGACCUUGCGCGAUUGAAUGAGCCGAUGUCGGAUUAGCUAGUUGGCGGGGUAAAGGCCCACCAAGGCGACGAUCCGUAGCUGGUCUGAGAGGAUGAUCAGCCACACUGGAACUGAGACACGGUCCAGACUCCUACGGGAGGCAGCAGUGGGGAAUAUUGGACAAUGGGCGCAAGCCUGAUCCAGCCAUACCGCGUGGGUGAAGAAGGCCUUCGGGUUGUAAAGCCCUUUUGUUGGGAAAGAAAAGCAGCAGGUUAAUACCCCACUGUUCUGACGGUACCCAAAGAAUAAGCACCGGCCAACUUCGUG